GUGCUCGCCUUCAGCAGCACAUAUAUACUGGGGUUGGGGCGAUACAGAGAAGAUUAGCAUGGCCCCUGCGCAAGGAUGACACACCAAUUCGUGAAGCGUUCCAUAUUUUU
rnacentral:snRNA from 1 species